CAUUUAUCAUUUCCACACAAGGGUCACACAUUGAUUUCACCACCAGCAACAGCCCUCGGAGCUCUGGUUUACAUUCUCGGUUGUUCCGGUUUUGCUUACACUUCCGGUCUGAAAUAGGCUAUCAUCCUUGACGCUAAAAUGAUCAGUUUACAGCUGUGCUACAAGCACAAGUUGUCGCUAUAAUGAAAGCACUUGCAGAGGAUAUGAUGGUCGACGUGAAGUAGGGGUCUACAAUUUAUCUGAGGAGCCACAGCUGGACCAAAGAUAAGAGGCUAGAACCGUUUGCAAAUACACGGCAGAGGGUUCCUUCAAAGUAAAGGCUCCUUUACGUUGACAGCGAAAUGAUAAUGCAAUCUUACACACUACAUAGCCAACCGAUUGGCCUGUCAUCAAUUAUCAUCUCCUCAACGAUGGAAUCUCAUUCAGAACAGAAAAGUCGAUUGUUUGCUUAAUACUAUUAAGGUGUGUUGAAAAUGUUGUACACUGUGCAAGGAACCCAAGUUUGAAUGGACCUGCCAAGGGAACAGCGUUUAGUGGAGAAGGCUGGACCCUAACCCUAACCCCCAACAGGUCAGGGUCCCCAGAACCUUCCAGAACCUCCUGGUCACCUCUCUCACACAUCUCUUACACACUCUUAUACACUCUUGAACACUCUCUAACACACUCUAACACACUCAGACACUCCUUCUUCUGACAAAUGUACUUAUUGUAAGUCGCCUGGGAUAAAAGCAUCUGCUAAACGUCCUGAUGUAGAAGACCCCUCUACCUGUCCUGUCAGCAGGGUCCGUGGGUGGGGGGCCGCAGACGUUUGAACUGAACUGAACUGUCUCUGGGCGUGACAGGAGGAGAGUGUCUCCAUGACGACCGUCCAGCUCAUCUCUCCCCGGGCAGGAGGCGUUAAUGGCCUGCUUUCCGGCGGCUCUUAAGAGGAGAUAUUAAUAUGUAUAAUACGUGUUUUAAGGAAGACGCUGAUGGCGGCCCUAAUCACGUCCAGCCCCGGCUAAUGGCUUCUUAAUCACGUAAUUGCUGCUCCUCCUCGCCGCGGCCUCUUCUAAUCCCUCUGAUCUUCUCUCUAAUCUCAUAUUGUUGUCCGAACACGGAUGAUGUGUCCGAACCACCCAGAAUGUUUUUCCAGAGGAAAACGUUGCGAGCGCCACGGUAAUCUGUUGAUGAGCGGCUCUUUAGCCUCAGUGGGGAGGAGCGGCAGGCUGUGAAGGAUUCCUCCUCCACCGAGGAGGAAUCCUAGAAAAACAGGCAGAGGAAAGAGUGUCAAAUACAAAGUUAGGAUGAUCAGAGAAUCAACAAGUGCCGAGGUACAUUUCCAUAAAGAUCUGCAGCUCGUGAAGAGCUUUAGGCUGUAGGCCUGAAAGUGUCUGGUUGGCAAGGUAUUUACAAAGCACACACUGUCUGUAAUUCCAGAAUGUAUGUUCAAAACAAAAGCCCCGUUAAUGCUGUCUCUUCUGCAGACUAUUCAUGUUAAUGAGGAGGAGGACGUGAUGAGGAGGUGAUGAGGAGGAGGAGGAGGUGAUGAAGAGGAAGAGGAGGAGGCGGGGA
ensembl:lncRNA